GGUGACCAGCGCAGCCACCACUAGGAACAGCGACUCUCCCAGACCCUCCCUCACCUGCCACCCAUCGUAGUGGCUGCUCCUCUUGAACGGCUGGGGCGAGAGGGAUACUGCAUGCGAUGGAACUGAUAAACCAGUUCAAAUAGCAUUAGACUCACUCACCGAUACUGUCUCAUUGAAACACAUUGCUCAUUUAUUCCUCUUCGUCAUCCUUUGAGACACAGUCAUUAUUUUCCAGAUGAGGCCUGCUCAAGAGCAUUUGGCUGAUGGGGGCUGAAACCUCUCACUGCAACCAGGUUCAUUUGGCUCCAAGUCCUGUGUGCUCUUUAUGAAGUCAUAGCAAGGCCUGGACUAGGGCUUAGAGAGCCACUACUCGAAGCCAAGCCUUACGUCAGGCAGCAGAGAUACCAAGAUGAGGUUGAAGAAAACACACGGCUUUCUCCACUCAUGGACUCCAAUGAGGAUGGCAACAACAUGGUAAUUAGAAGUCAUUAGCAGAUUGCUCUCAGCAAGUGGAAAGCAGUGAGAAUUCUGAAGCAAGACUUCUCUGGACUUCAGGGAAGUCCCUCUAAGGAAGUGACAUCUAAACUGGAACUCCACUGCCUCUAGUAUGUCUACUCUGGAGUUCCCACCUUUAAGGGUUUCUGGGAACAUUAAUAUAUAUAGUGUGAGUGGA
ensembl:lncRNA LINC02153 long intergenic non-protein coding RNA 2153